GUGCUCACUUCAGCAGCACAUAUACUAAAAUUGGAACAAUGUAGAGACGAUUAGCAUGACCCGUACACAAGGAUGGCAUGCCAAUUCAUGAAGUGUUACGUAUUUUU
rnacentral:snRNA from 1 species